rnacentral:rRNA from 1 species
GUGUCAGCAGCCGCGGUAACCCCGGCGCCACGAGUGGUUAUCACGAUUAUUGGGCCUAAAGCGUUCGUAGCCUGUUUGGUAAAUCUCUUGUGAAAUUGUUCGGCUUAACCGGACAGCGUGCAGGAGACACUGCCAGACUCGAGACCGGGAGGGGUUAGAAGUAUUCCAUGGGGACUGGUAAAAUGGGAUAAUCCAUGGAAGACUACCGAUGGCGAAGGCAUCUAACCAGAACGGAUCUGACGGUGAGGAACGAAAGCCAGGGGAGCGAACCGGAUUAGAAACCCUGGUAGUCC